rnacentral:sRNA from 1 species
UUCCGGAGGUGGGACCGUCUGUCCCUUG